rnacentral:lncRNA from 1 species
AUGUAGAGAUGUCGAUAGGUAUAUCGGAAAUUUUAUCUGAAUCUAAAUCCGAACAAAACGGAUUUAUCUUAUACUAAACGGAUAUAGAUAUCAUAAACAAAAAUUCAACAAAUUUGGAUUCGGAUAUGAAUUUUAACUGUAACUGACCCGAACCGAAUUGAUUUUGCAUUAUAUAGUAUUUCUAAAUGUUUGAUAUUAUAUUUGAAUUUGUAUUUUAAAAAAAUAGAUUUAGUAUAAUAUGUUGUGAAAUAUUGUAAAGAGAAAUAAUUGUUUCGGCUUCAGAUUUUCAGAUUCGGGUUCAGAUUCGGGUUUCAAGUUUGAUAGCCUGAUUCGGAUUUGAAUUUUUAAAAAUCCACUUCUAAUUCAACCCGUCGACAUCUCUAUCUGCCCCAACAUUUUGUUAUAAAAAGCAUACCUUACGUCUCAUAAUACAAGAAUUUAAAAAAAUUAAAAUGUUUAUUAAUCAAAGAAUAAUUAAUAAAGCAAGUGAAAAAAUUAUAGCCUUUUAAAAGGUAGGUGUAAGAUUUGAACCAAAUAAAGGUCUCACAUCUUUUGGCCAUGCACAAAAAGGAUUUUUCAAGUGAUGUUAUUAUCCAAAAAGGAAUUAUAGUUAAGUAGGAAAUGUUUUGAGCCGUACACAAAGAUUUUCUACUGGUGGCUGAGUUGCAUUCUAGAAUUUUUUGAUGCGAGGAAUUCUACACUGUCACACUUGCACCACGUCAUUAAUAACAAGUCAAUCACAUUCCUUCUUUUCAAACAAAAGUACAAUAAAAAUACUUUUUUACAAUCAUGAUGGGACAUAUAUUCUUAAAAAGAUUAAUUUGAUUGGUUUGUUACGCCACGUCAUUUAUAUACCCAUUGCAUUCUAGAAUUUUUCGAUGCCCUUGGCAUGCUCAUGCGAUUAUGUACUUGACACAUUCAAAGAUUUCCUCUUCUUUUUUCUUUUUUUUUGACAGAGAGAGAAAGAGAGAGAGGAGAGAGAGAGAGAGGUAGUAUGUUACUCUGUUCGUUAAUUUUUUUAGAAAUAAGUUUAGCUGAAAAUGUGGCUUCAAAUUUGAGGCUUCGGAUACCAACCAUCAAAUCUUUUGUCACUUGCAUUAGGGGACGCUUCGAAUUUGGGACACAUUCAGGGUGUGUUUGGUUCGAAGUCGGAGCCGGUAUUGAAAUCGGAAUGAAAAUAAGCUAGAAACAGAAUCGGAAUAAUUCAUUACUUCAUUUUGUUUGGUUUGCCACCUAAAUUGGAAUCAGAAUGAAUUAUUCCCAUUGUCGGUAUUUAGUUCAAAUAGAUAUCUGAAACGUAAUCAAAUUAUUAUGUCAAUUUUAUCUUUAUAAUAUAUUAGUUUAAAUUCAAACUGAAAAUUAAAUAUUAAAAAUUUACGUCAAAAUUUUCAAAUAAUGUCAAAAUUUUAAAUAUAUUUUUAUUAAGAAAAUAAAAUUUGAAAUUUAAUGGAUAAUUCAAAAUACAAAACUAAAAUUUGAUUAAAAUUUGAAUAAAACUUUAGAUUUUAAAUUAAAUUUNAAAUUUAAAUUCAAAUUUAUAAAUUAGAUUCGAAAUGCUUGAUUGAAUUUUAAUUUUUAAUUUAAGUUCAAAUUAAAAUUUAAAUUUAUAAAUAUAAUUGUUAAACUUAAACUUAUAUUUUAAUUAAAAAAUAAGUUUUAAAAAAUUAAAUUUAAUUCGAAUAAAUCCAUUCCGCCCUAAUUCAAUUUCCAAUCCGGCCUUCUAGGCCGGAUUGGAAAAAUGGGUAAUUGGGGGAUUCCCGUUCACCUCGGAAUCAAAAUCGAAAUGAGAAUCCUGUAUAUCAAACACAGACAAACGAAUUCGUCCAUUCCAAUUCCGAUUUUAUAGUGAAAAAGGAGCGAACCAAACAUGCCCUCAAAGAUUUUCAUGUUACCGGCAAACAUCUUUCAAAAUUGUUU